AUGAAGAAGGCCAUGAGGAAGGAGAGUGGUAAGAAGCUUGUGGGCAGGGCAGUAGCAAGGGCUCUCGUGUGGCUUUUGCUUCCUGUCCUUGUCUUCGUCGUGCUCUACUCCGAUCACAUGCCGCGGGUUCUUCAAUUACAAGCAACAACUCUUUAUCCUUCAUUUAAUUCGGAUUUGGUCGGCCAUGCACCACCUUCUCCCGCAUCAAGCGAGCAGACGCUCGGCGAGGCCGUCGAUGCACCACCUUCUCCCGCAACAAGCGACCAGACGCCCGGCGCGGCCGUUGAUGCACCCCCUUCUCCGGCAUCACGCGACGAGACGCCCGGCGACGUCAUCAGUGCGAACAAAAGCCAAGGCGACAUCGCCCGUCGACAAGAUACAGAUGUGGCAGCACCAAGAAGCAAGUCAGUGUGCGACUUCAGCAGUGAACGCAUGGACAUAUGUGCCAUGCAAGGUGACGUCCGUAUGCAUGGCAAAUCCGCCACCGUGUACGUGGUCUCGGCGUCUGAUGAUAGCUACCGGCCAGAGAAUGGAACAGUGAAGAUCCACCCGUACCCGCGCAAGUCGGAGGAAGGAACGAUGCAAGCUAUCCGGGAGGUGAGCAUCCGCUGGAGCGGGCUGGAUGCGCCACGGUGCACGGUGACACACGACGUCCCCGCGGUGGUCUUCUCCACCGGCGGCUUCCUCAACAACUUUUUUCACGCCAUGACCGACGGUCUCAUCCCUCUCUUCAACACCGUGCGGGAGUACGAUGGUCGCGUCCAGCUUGUGGUCACUGACUACAACCACAAGUGGGUUGACAAGUUCCAAGACAUCCUCGCCGCGCUCUCCAUGUACCCGGUCAUCGACUUUGACGCCGACAACAAGGUGCGUUGCUUCCCGUCGGUGCACGUCGGCACCGAGAGCCAUAAGGAGAUGGGGAUCAUCCCUGCUUUCUCCCGCAAGGGCUACACGAUGACGGACUUCCGGAACUUUCUCCGGUCGGUCUACUCGCUAAAGCGUGAAUGGGCGACCCCUGUAAACAGGACCGCCGGCGACAGGCCUCGUCUCCUCAUGGUGUUGCGCCGCAAGUCGAGGGCAUUCGCGAAUGAGGCGGAGGCCGUCGCAGCUGCCACAGAUAUCGGUUUUGAGGUGGUGUUGGGGGCCCCGGAGGCCAUGGGCGACAUGGCCCGGUUCGCAGAGGUUGUGAACUCGUGCGACGUGAUGGUGGGUGUGCAUGGUGCAGGGCUCACCAACCUGGUGUUCCUCCCGCGCAACGCGACGUUGGUGCAGGUUGUCCCGUGGGGCGACAUGAGCUGGGGGGCCAAUGCUGCCUUUGGUGCGCCGUCGGCUGACAUGGGGCUCCGGUACGUCCAGUACGAGCCGACCGCCGAGGAGACGACGCUCAAGUACAUAUACCCGAGGGACCACGCCGUCUUCACCGACAUUGCCUCCAUACACAGGCAGGGGUAUGGUAUGACGUGGGCGAUCUUCCUCAACGGCCAGAAUAUCACCCUCGACAUCGACCGCUACAGAGGGGUGUUGCAGCAAAUCUACCAUGAUAGUGUAAUGGCCAAUCCUUCAUUUAAUUCUGUUCCCGUCGUCGAAGCACCGCCUUCUCCGGCAUCAACCGGCGAGACACCCGGCGACAUCCUUGAUGCGAACAGAGAUCUCCAAAACGAAAAGGGGCACCUAGCCAUGAAGGCGGGAUUAGACGGUUCUUCGAUAAAAUCAGAUGUGGCAGCACCAAGAAGCAAGUCAGUGUGCGACUUCAGCAGUGAACGCAUGGACAUAUGUACCAUGCAAGGUGACGUCCGUAUGCAUGGCAAAUCCGCCACCGUGUACGUGGUCUCGGCGUCUGAUGAUAGCUACCGGCCAGAGAAUGGAACAGUGAAGAUCCACCCGUACCCGCGCAAGUCGGAGGAAGGAACGAUGCAAGCUAUCCGGGAGGUGACCAUCCGCUGGAGCGGGCUGGAUGCGCCACGGUGCACGGUGACACACGACGUCCCCGCGGUGGUCUUCUCCACCGGCGGCUUCCUCAACAACUUUUUUCACGCCAUGACCGACGGUCUCAUCCCUCUCUUCAACACCGUGCGGGAGUACGAUGGUCGCGUCCAGCUUGUGGUCACCGACUACAACCACAAGUGGGUUGACAAGUUCCAAGACAUCCUCACCGCGCUCUCCAUGUACCCGGUCAUCGACUUUGACGCCGACGACAAGGUGCGUUGCUUCCCGUCGGUGCACGUCGGCACCGAGAGCCAUAAGGAGAUGGGGAUCAUACCUGCUCUCUCCCGCAAGGGCUACACGAUGACGGACUUCCGGAACUUUCUCCGGUCGGUCUACUCGCUGAAGCGUGAAUGGGCGACCCCUGUAAACAGGACCGCCGGCGACAGGCCUCGUCUCCUCAUGGUGUUGCGCCGCAAGUCGAGGGCAUUCGCGAAUGAGGCGGAGGCCAUCGCAGCUGCCACAGAUAUCGGUUUUGAGGUGGUGUUGGGGGCCCCGGAGGCCAUGAGCGACAUGGCCCGGUUCGCAGAGGUUGUGAACUCAUGCGAUGUGAUGGUUGGUGUGCAUGGUGCGGGGCUCACCAACCUGGUGUUCCUCCCGCGCAACGCGACGUUGGUGCAGGUCGUCCCGUGGGGCGACAUGAGCUGGGGGGCCAAUGCUGCAUUUGGUGCGCCGUCGGCUGACAUGGGGCUCCGGUAUGUCCAGUACGAGCCGACCGCCGAGGAGACGACGCUCAAGUACAUAUACCCGAGGGACCACGCCGUCUUCACCGACAUUGCCUCCAUACACAGGCAGGGGUAUGGUAUGACGUGGGCGAUCUUCCUCAACGGCCAGAACAUCACCCUCGACAUCGACCGCUACAGAGGGGUGUUGCAGCAAAUCUACCAUGAUAGUGUAAUGGCCAAUCCUUCAUUUAACUAG
rnacentral:rRNA from 1 species